UGAGCGCUGAAGGUUGGUACUUGUACCGACUGGAUGAGCAGCGAACG
rnacentral:rRNA from 1 species